rnacentral:rRNA from 1 species
UACAGAGGGUGCGAGCGUUAAUCGGAAUUACUGGGCGUAAAGCGCGCGUAGGCGGCUUUGCAAGUCGAGUGUGAAAUCCCCAGGCUCAACCUGGGAACUGCAUUCGAGACUGCAUAGCUAGAGUAUGGGAGAGGGAAGUGGAAUUUCAGGUGUAGCGGUGAAAUGCGUAGAUAUCUGAAGGAACAUCAGUGGCGAAAGCGACUUCCUGGACCAAUACUGACGCUCACGUGCGAAAGCGUGGGGAGCAAACAGGGAU